ensembl:lncRNA
CACACACACACACACACACAGAGACGUACAUAUAUAAGUUAAAGAGGGAUAGUACUGCCAUAUAAUUUGUCUCUUAUGAUGAAUUCCUAUUGGUGUCUCCUGAGACAUCGAGCCUCUGUUGGCAAAGCAACACAUUUUUCAAAGUCAGUCCACUGCUUCCUCAUUAUCUCUUCUUUCUACUUCCCUCACUCAACUCAAUUGAUUUUUCAUAUCCUCCACUCUUUCAAAUUUUAUCCAUCAUCAGAAAAAAACCUCUCACAUCACCUAAAGAAUCUGACCAAUAGUUACUGGGAUCUCUCUGAUUACUGAGAAAAAAGGUUUGAUACCAUAGGUUUGAAUGUUGCCAUAUGUGUGCUUUAUUUUAACAGGGCAACAGUCAAAAAAAAAAAAAAAUAGAGGAACUGAUAUGUAGAAAAUAAAUAUAAGUCAGGAAGAAAGAUGGAGGGAAGUAGAAAGAGAAGGGCGGGGGAAUGUUAAAGGAACAAAAAAGGUGAAGAAAAAGCAAAAGAUGUCACAGUUGUUCCAUUUCCUGGCUGUCUGAAGUCAGCUCUAAAAAUUGGAAACAGUGGCGUUCCCUAAUCUCCCAUCACCUGCACAGAGUGUAUUCAGUGUCUGAUAAACCACCCUGCAACCCCGAACUACCACACACACACUCACACACCGAUUUAAAUAUAAAAGGAUCAUCCUGCUAAAGAGGAACAGACACACGCGCAGCUCCAUAUGAACUAAGGCAGUUUGUGUAAACUCUAUAAUUGAACUUUAUCUGAAGUCAUGAUAGGUUUGUGCUAUCUGUGUUGAUAUUUAAAAAUACUGGCACAGUAGCUGUGGCGGCUGGAAUAACAGUCCUUCGGAAAAACGCUAUCGGAUUCAGUUCCUGCCGAGUGAGUCGCCUCAGAAUCGGCCUGCUGUGGUUGAGAAAUGAGGCUGCCGGGCAGAUGUCAUAUCCGGGAAUGUGUCGCGACACAUUAACACCCUUUCAGUGGCAGAAUCUGCAGGAGUCCACCCUGGGGGACAAACACAGCUAUGGCACAAUAUGUCUGGGACGUGGAACCUACUGGUAUCAAAACACCUGCUCCCUUCACUGUCUCCUUCUAUUACUCCAUUUCCU